rnacentral:tRNA from 1 species
GCCUUCGUGGUGUAGUGGUCAGCACUCUCGAUGCGUAACCCAGAGGUUUCGUGGUUCGAUUCCCGGCGAGGACA